AUGCUCUAGGCUUGGAUCAUCAUCGUAGAAGUACAACUCUAGAUGCUUUGGAUCUGUGCGACUAUUUCCAAAUGAUUGUAUAUUGUGAUACAUCUGGCCAUGAGCUCGAAAGGUGUAAAUACCAGCUUUUUUCAUGUCGGUGGUCUCACUGUCUAGGUGGCAAUAAAGAGAUGUAAAUGAGAAGUGUCCAUUGAAAAAUCUUAUAUUGUUCCGAAAAUAUCUUGCU
rnacentral:lncRNA from 1 species